GAUGAACGCUGGCGGCGUGCCUAAUACAUGCAAGUCGAGCGAACAGACGAGGAGCUUGCUCCUCUGACGUUAGCGGCGGACGGGUGAGUAACACGUGUAUAACCUACCUAUAAGACUGGGAUAACUUCGGGAAACCGGCGCUAAUACCGGAUAAUAUAUUGAACCGUAUGGUUCAAUAGUGAAAGACGGUUUUGCUGUCACUUAUAGAUGGUUCCGCGCCGCAUUAGCUAGUUGGUAAGGUAACGGCUUAUCAAGGCAACGAUGCGUAGCCGACCUGAGAGGGUGAUCGGCCACCCUGGAACUGAGACACGGUCCAGACGACUACGGGAGGCAGCAGUAGGGAAUCUUACGCAAUGGGCGAGAGCCUGACGGAGCAGCGCGGCGUGAGUGAUGGAGGUCUUCGGAUCGUAAAACUCUGUUAUUAGGUAAGAACAAAUGUGUAAGUAACUAUGCACGGCUUGACGGUACCUAAUCAGAAAGCCACGGCUAACUACGUG
rnacentral:rRNA from 1 species